rnacentral:lncRNA from 1 species
AUCAGUUGAUCUGUUGGCUUGCCAUUUUAAAGUUUCCACCCACAUUUACACACUUUUAUUUUCUCUUUAAUCAUUUUGGACUUUGCACUAUCUUAUAUUAACAUUUUCAUGAAUCUGAUUACGUUGAGUUAAUAUAACUAUGCCCUGUUUGGCUCCCUUUAAAAUUCAUCAAUUUAAUUUAAAUUUUUCUCUCCCCUAUUUUCAACUAUACAAUCUUCAAUAAAAUAAUAUUUCACGCAAAUCGAAAACUUUUCAUUCUUUUACAACCAUUCAUUUAAAAAAAAAAAAAUACUAUUCCCCCCAUUAUAAAUCCAAAUAAUGGGGGCUAAACGGGGGCUAUAUCUUCUUAUUAACAAUACAUUUUGAAAUCUUUGUCAACUAAUUUCUUACGUUUGAAUUUCGUAAAGUACGUUGACAACUUACAUGAAGGUUUUUAUAAAUGAAGAUUCAAGUGCAUGAAUAUUGUGAAAUUUAUUUAUCUAUUAAAAAUUCUUUAAAUUGUUUUGUUUCAGAAUGUCGAUAGUCUCAAAUUACUGUUAUCAAGAAAAUUGCAUCACAUUUGUAUUUUUGCAGAAGUUCUAAUCCUUUAUGAAAUAUAUUUUCAAAAUUUAGUUAAAAUUAUUUCAUCAAGUUUGAAAGGUUUUGAAGUCUAAGGUUUUUUAGUCUAAUUAGUUAAAAUUAUUUCAUCAAGUUUGAAAGGUGUUGAAGUCUAAGGUCUUAAAGUCUAAUUUAAUUUCACCACCUACAUGUAAGAAAAAGCUUAGUAAAUGCAAGGGAAGAAGUCAUGAAAUUGAACAGAGUCAAUAAGGGGCAAUUUAGGCAAUUAACAAUUUUUUAAUGGAAAAAGUCCUUGAAAUGAUUUAUGGGGAAUCUGUUGCCCCAAACAAACCUCAUGGAGUGUCUCUUGUAGUUUUUAAAACUAGGUGUUUGUAUUUGUGACUUACUCCAAGAGAGAUCUUUGGUACGUGGAAUUUGUUGGGUUAAAUAUUUCAAUUGCCAUUGAACUUUUCCAUUUGUUUUCCAAUUGCCAUUGAACUAAAAAAUUUCUGAGUUGCAGCUGAACUUUUCCAAAUGUUUUCUAGUUGCCAUUGAACUUUUUAAAAGUUAGGCCAAUGCCCUGAGUACCUGGCAAUUAUCAUACAGGAGUCUUACAGACCCCUCACUGUAGAUGGCAGGUGGGUCCCAUUGAUCUGCAUAAAAAAAUAAAAAAUAAAAAUUGCUGGCCCCACCCUUUGUGUGUGUUCUGGCAUAGGCCUGUGAUCCUGCCUAUACGUGAAUCACGGCUCUAAAAGUUACUCGAGUUUUCAUAUAACUUACCAAAAUGUUAUUCCAUCCAUGACUUUAUUGCUUGUAAUUUUGAAAGUUACGGACUAGAUGACAUGGUACAUAGAAUGACAGAUGAAAUAAAAUUUUUGGUUAGUUCAUCGAAGUUCAAUAAUUUUUAAAACAAGGACUGAUUGAUGUGAUAACAUUUUAUUAAGUUUUAGUGGUAACUUGGAGAAACAUUUGGGGGAAGUGGAAAGAAAUUUUAUAGUUCAGUGGUAAUUAAGAAACUUUCAGAAAAGUUCUGCGGCAGUCGAGAUAUUUAACCCAAAUUUGUUUAGAAAGAUGAACUAAGUUACCAUGUAGCAAAAUUGUUGGUAUCAUUGGUUGUGCCACAAAUAUUCUGGAGAAGAAACUUCCUCAUUUUUGCUUAUGUUCCAUACUGUCUGGUUUCUAAUUGGUUCGGAUAUGGAUGCGACUACUGCAGGAAGUAGGAUCUUCCGUCAUUGAACUGGACUGGUUCGUUUUGCAUUCCCUUGUGAUACCUCAAGUUGAGUGCUAUGCAUAAUGGCUGCUCAUUCAGGGAGCUCUCGCGAAUCUUCUCCUGCUUGUUACUAUUUAUGUUACUCGUUUUCAGUUUGGAACUCUGUAAUUUAGCAUAGUAUUUGGAAGGGGGAUUUUGGUAGCCAACUUUACAUCAAAUAAAAACCAAGAAUAUGUAUUUCAUUUUAUUUGCUUUUGCUGUUGUGUAAUUCUUUUUCCUCCUCGAUGAUGGUCUUAAGAAUAUUAAAUGUACCUAGCCUUAACCAUUUUAUUUUGGUUGCUGACUAAAACUGAAGCAUAUCUCAC